UCAGGAUGAACGCUAGCGGCAGGCUUAACACAUGCAAGUCGAGGGGCAGCGGGAUGUAGCAAUACAUUGCCGGCGACCGGCGGAUGGGUGCGUAACGCGUAUGCAACCUACCUUAUACAGGGGAAUAACCUUUCGAAAGGGAGACUAACACCCCAUAGUAUUGAUUUAAGGCAUCUUAGAUUAAUUAAAUAUUUAUAGGUAUAAGAUGGGCAUGCGUAUGAUUAGCUAGUUGGUAAGGUAACGGCUUACCAAGGCGACGAUCAUUAGGGGUUCUGAGAGGAAGGUCCCCCACACUGGUACUGAGACACGGACCAGACUCCUACGGGAGGCAGCAGUGAGGAAUAUUGGUCAAUGGGCGCAAGCCUGAACCAGCCAUGCCGCGUGCAGGAAAGACGGCCUUAUGGGUUGUAAACUGCUUUUACAUAAGACUAACCGUAUAUUUGCGAAUAUACCUGAAUGUAUUAUGAGAAUAAGGAUCGGCUAACUCCGUGCCAGCCGCUGC
rnacentral:rRNA from 1 species